rnacentral:lncRNA from 1 species
AAAAAAAAAAAAUCUAAGAAACCAAAAAUCUCUGUUACUGAGACUAGAUCCCUAUCUUUGUCUGAUAGAGAUUACGUAAUGGUCCGAUCAUGAACCAGCCCACCAGUCAUCCUUGCCACCAGUGAGCAAUAGCUUAUGCAAUAUAUGCAAAUAAGAACUAGAGCCCAACUGAGCCAAGAACCAGAAGCAAAGAGAAAACAAAACAAUACAACAUCCAGCAGAGUUAAGAAGAAAAAGUAGAAAAGAAAGGAAGGAACAUAUGAAGGGAGAGAGAGAGAGAGAAACAGGUAACAAAAGCAAAUUUUCAUUGCCUCUGAGGAGUCAUCCUUAUAAGUCAAGAAAAGACUUGUUUUUUAGUCUUAAACUGACAUGAGGGGCACCUCUUGGGCAGCACAGUUUAAUCAGCUAUAGAAGGCAAGCUAACUGGACAUCUCAGUGGGACUUCCAAAAGCAUCAAAUAUAAUUUUCAAAAAGCUAAAAUCUAUGUCUUCUAUGCAAACAUGAAGUAAGCAUGUGUUAAAGAUUUAUGUAACUCAUUAAUGAUAGAAGGAGCUAGAAAAUAAGCUUGGUUCUCUUAUCACCAUUUAAAUACUUACUGGCUCAUUUUUCUGCCCAAAACCUUCACUUAUUUUCUCUUUCUUUUUCCUUUUUGAUUUUUUUUCAUCUGAUGUGGAAAAUCAAAAUGAAGAAAAUCUUGGAUUUCAUAGAAAGCAGCAUUUGCAAUAAAUUUCCUACUUCUUUAUCAGGACUUUUGACUCUGAAUCCAGAGUUCCUUCUACUCUAUUCUAACUAUUUCUGCAGAGAUGCAAUCCUUGUCUUAUAGGAGCUUGGAAAAACUUUGCAAACAUGAACAGUGAACAAAUAAGUAAUCCAGGGUAGAAAUUCAGUGGCCAUUGUGGAGUGACUUGGUCAUUACAAUUCUCAGAGCACACAGGAACUGAAUGUGUUCUGAAAGUCAAAAGUCCUUCAGUAAGAGAAUUUUAAUGAGAAUAGACACUGAUACUUAACUCAUAGUAUGUUUUGAAAGGAUUGAAGCCAAGAAGAAUGUGAAAUGUCAGUUGAAAACCAAAAAGUUGUCUUUUUUGUGUUCUUCACUAGUAGUAGGUUUUGUCUUUUUUCAGAACAAUAGAAUAUAAAAUAUUUCCUGGAUAUCCAUAUUAUCUACAACUUAUUUUUAUUAUGAAAGCUCCAGACAUGAGUGAGCAGUAAACUUGCCCAUAUGCCCUUUAUCCCAGAAGCAAAAUAAUUUUGUAUGUCAGCUUGAAGUCAAUAUAAGAAACUUGAACAAAAAUAAGAAAGAAAAAGAGAGAUGGGGAGGGGAUGGGGAGACAGAGAGAGAUGAAACUGGCUUGUCUGCAAAACUUUACAAAACAAAAGAAGAAACCAUCUGCUAAAUGAGUGGCUUAAUGCAGAGCAAGGUAUGAGUCAGAAAUGUAGCCGGUUUCUAAAUCGGAGGUAUAGAAGGCAAUGCUGGAACCUCAGGAGAACUUCUGUAACAUCGAUCCUUUGAUGGAAUUGGAUCGAGGUAAACUUGAAAUGUUUAAGGUGAGUAAGUGAGAAAGAAUGAGCGCUUAUAUAAAAUAAGUUGCUGAUCUGGGGGCCUUUCUUUUGUUGUUGCUACCUUUACCAGAGAAAGAAAAUAUGGUGUCUGGAUAAGUCCCUCGUGGAACUACCUGCUGUGAAGCUCCUCUGAAAAAUACAGAACUGCUUUUUACAUGAAAAGUUAAUAGCAAGUACGGUAGAAAUUUCUCACUGGAGCAAUAUUUUUCAAAGAAUAUAAAACAGAUAGGACUUGGCAGCUCCUCACAUUAAAAGAUUUGAAGUUUAAGUUUAGAUUUCAUAUUACUAUAGUUCUGCCAGGUCCAAAUUUGACCUUCUACCUAUUUUAUUUUUAUUCCACAUUAGUUGUGUCUGUAAUUCCCAACGGAUGUUGACGAUGGCCCAUCGUCAUAAAUGGUGAACUCAUUAAUGACUUGGAGAAUUUUUAAACACAGGAGUCCUGUGGCCUUGUGAUAUUCUAAUUCAAUAGGCCUGGAACAGGAAAUUGGCAUACAUUUUUAACUACUCCUUAGAAUUUCUGAUGACAACAGACUUAGGGACCAUUACCUAGAGUGUUGGGAAGAGAAUUAAGGAUAUAGGUCAGUCUGCUUUUCUUGGAACAUGCAUUCCAGAGGAUUGCAGAUAUGAGUUUUACAGGCAGGGGAGCAGUGGGAAGUUGGAGUAAGAGAAAGGAGGUGUGCUAAAUCUGGAGGAUGAAUGUAAAAAAAAUUUUUUUAAAUGACCUGAGAAUUUUAUAUUUUGGACACUAAUGAAGGUAGUCAAACUGUUCAGUUUGACUCUAAACAGCCAAGAUCAAAAGUCUGAGUAUUUCCCUCAGCCUCUUAGGACACAACUGCAGUGUGUUAGGACAAGCUGGACAUGGCCAUGGCUGUGAGAUUUCCUUCUCUUCCUCAAGAGGGAGGGGCAGCAGGCAUGUGUGCAUAUACUCAAUGCAGUGCAUACUCCUGGCCAUCAGGUCAGGGACACAUAUCAAAUAUCUAAGAAAGCAUUCUGGCCUACCUGCAAAUCAGUACCUUUCUGAAAAAAAGGUCGUUUGGAAAAAAAAUAUGUUCAGGUAGGGCACAAUUUGUUUCACUUUCAUCACCUUGUAAUUCAGCACUGGAUGUCCCUUAAUUGAAUUUUCUCCAUAAAAGAAUGUGAGAAACUAAAAAGUGAGCUAAGUAAGAGUUAGCACAUGGGAACAGAAACAUUAUCUAAGGAAAAAAGACCUUCUUGCUCCUUGUAAUGGGUUGAAUUGUGUCCCUUUCCUCUGCACCCCCCCCACCAAAGGUAUAUAUCUAUGUUCUAAUUAUUGGAAACUGUGAAUCUGACUUUAUUUGGUAAAAGGGUCUUUGCAGAUGUAAUUGAGCUAAGAAUCUCCACAUGAGAUCAUCCUGGAUUAUCUGGGUUGGGUCCUAAUCCAAUGGCAAGUGUCUCAAUAAGAGAAACACGGCUAGAGACACAGACAAGAAGGCCUUGUGAAGACACAGGCAGAUCACUGGAGUGAUGUGUGCACAAGCCAACGAUCACCUGGAACCACCAGAAGCUAGAAGAGAUGAGAAAGGAGCUUCCACAAGGAUCCUAGUUCUACCAACACUCUGAUUUUGGAGUUCUUCCCUCUAAAACUGGGACAAUAAAUUGUAGUUGUUUUAAGCUGCUCACUUUGUAGUAUUUGCUACAGCAGCCCUAGGAAACUGUAUACCUCUAUCAUAACAAAGUGGGGCAAUGUUCUCUCACCACUGUUUUGUACAACAUGUAUACGAUGAAGAGGAAAGAAGAGAUGAGGCCCAUGAGGAGGUAGGUAAAGGUCUAGAAUUAUUGAGAAUAGCAGAUGGUCAGAACAAUGGUGAAGGGGUGCAUUCCAAAGAACCAUGCUAGGAAGUGGGAUACUAUCAAUAAUGUGCACAUGCUUGUCAUGCACCCAAGACAGUAGCAAACAGUGGACAAAAACAGUAGCAGAGGAAAUAGAAAUGGCAGGUUUUGAGAAUUUCAGUGGCCCAAUGAGUGAGUAAAUCUCUUCUGGAUUGUUCCUUGGGAAUGGAGAAUUCAUCAGAAUAUGAAUCUCCCAUGAUUCUUCUAGUGGGAACUCCAUGACAGAAAUUGUUAUUAUUGCACCCCUGGUCUCAAAUACCAGGCAGGUUGAAGUGAGAUGGUACUAGGUUAUGCACUCAGCGCUUACUCAUUAAAUGGUAGGUUCCAGUUUUUCCUGAGUUUUCCUUGGCCAAGAUCACUGUUUCAAACAAAACCAAAAUGCUUCCUAAAGGGAUAAUUACUAGAAAAAGAGAAGUGCCUUGGGAGAAAUCUAUGUUUUUGGAUGCUCAUUCGACCUUUCUCCUGUGCAGAUUGAUCAGAAAGAGCAUUUCUCCAAAUAUCGCAUUUGAAUAAUUAAGGGUCAGUAUACACCAGGGCCAGAUAAAUAAAAAAAGGGUAUCUUAGACAGCAUACCAUCUUCAAACUAACACUUUCUAAGUAUGUAUUCACCAUUUAUGUAGUAGAGGAGGAAACAAAGAGAUUUCUGUUACUAGCUAGCUCGAUGGAAUUCAAUAUGCAAUUUUUAAAGAAACUCUUCUACUUACUAAUUUACUUGUUUUUGCUAAAGCAGAGUCAAUAUGCAUGGGAAAACAAAGAAACAAACUUUGUAAAGUGUUUUCUAUUUUUCCUUAAUUCUUUGUUCUCCAAUUCACUUUCAUUAUUUUCAGGAGCAGACAACUCCCUGGGACACAUUAAUAGUUUACAAUGUACAUAAUUAAAAGAGUCAUUAACUUUUGGUAAGUCGUGUUACAUCCUGCAUUGUUUUUCAGCUCUUCAGUUAACUAGGAUUGCCAACAUGAGUGACACACUCUCAACAAACCUAAGUCAGCACUAAAGAAGAAUAUUUUUAAAUGUCUGCUCCAGACAGAGAAAGGCAAAUACCAUACCAUUUCACUUAUAUGUGAAAUCUAAAAAAAAUAAAACGAAUGAAUAAACAAACAAAAGACAGAAUCAGACCUAUAAAUACAGAGAACAAAAUGAAGGUUGCCUGAAGGAAAAGGAGUGGGGGGAGAUGGACAAAAUAGGUAAAGGGAUGUGGGAGGUACAGGCCUCCAGGUACAGAUUGAGUAAGUCACAGGGAUGAAAGGUAGAGCGUUGUGAAUACAGUCAAUGGUAUUGUAAUUGUGUUGUGUAUGAUAGAUGGUAGUUAUAUUUGUAGUGAGCAUAGCAUAAGGUAUAGAGAGUUACUUUGAGUUACUUCUUAGUGAAUACAACUUAGUGAAGUUUUACACCUGAAAAUAAUGUAGCAACUUUUAAAAGAAAAAAAAGAUCCUUUCCAGACUUGUCUAUUUCUACUGGGUUAGAGGCAAUUUGUGGGUGACUGGCCAUAUGAGAGAUUGUGCCUGGAAAUGAGUCAAGUGAUGCACAUUUCUUCGAUUUUUUUGUUUUUUAUAGGCAGAAAUCUGGGGCAACUGCCUUUCUUUCUGCCCUUGAUUCUGAGUCUGGGACUAAUGCCAGUAUCUCAGUCUGCUUUCACCAAAGACUUGCACUUACUGACAAUUCAGAUAUGCAGAACAUGGCCUACUAGUCCAAAUUGUCUCCAUCCUCGAAGCACGAUACCUGUCCUGUGGUUUCCAACAGGCCUUUCUUUAUGCUAUAGGUCACACAAAACCCUUCCGUACCAAACCAUUGCAAUUAUUACAUAUAGGUUAAUUUGGGAACUUAGCUAAUUAACAUUUUCCAUUAAAAUUCAGAGUUUACAAAGUGCUUAUCAUGAAUUAUAUAUUCUAAUCAUCAUGAAAAACCUGUGAGGUAGGAUUUAUUAUUAUUAUCUUCUAAUUUUAAGAUAAUGAAAUGUGAAGUAAUUUGCUCAGGAUCACACAUGCACUGGGGUAGCUGCCCCAGGAUUCUAACCUGAGUUAAUCAUUCUUUAUUCAUUCCUAAAUACUAUGUUUCAUUAAUUUUAAGAUGCAUUUUUUGUUUAAAUUUUAACAUUUCCAGAACGUGUAUGAUGUGUUUAAUUGGCACUGCUUUGUUUCUUAAGAGUAUAAAAUACAGUGGUUCCUUACAAUGACGCUACCUUAGAUUAGGUAGCAUAUUGUAUUUUAAUAAGGGUUUACCAGGAGCCAGGAGCUGUGAAGCACACUAGAAAUAAAACUGUAAGCAACAGUCAUAUUUCCCACUUUUGUAGAGUUUUGUGUUUUACUUGCAUCAUUAUGCCACCCAACCCUAGCCUGUUGUAAAUUGUUUUCUGUUUUGUCCCAUAUGUUAGAAGCAAUGGUCUUAACAAGAUUACAAACCACUUGAGGUGCUGUGUCUGGCAGAUUUGCCUUCCUUAUAUGCAACCAUAGUGCCUUUCUAGUGUAUUUUUUCUGAUGCUUGUCUUGACCUUCCACACCAAAUAGAAUGGGUUCCAGGUGGGAGAAUCAUUAUAUUGAUCCAUAUUUUUAAAAUACUCUCUCUAGAACUUAGGAAAUCACAGCUAGGCCAGUGAUGUGGAGACACAGACACCUGUGUAGUUUUGCUAUGCUGUAAUUUUUCAAUAUUUAGGAUCUGAUUCCUUAGGAGCAGAGGAGUAGUUAAUAGGUAGCUCCCCACCCCAGGUGUACUGUCCCCAAAAUAGCACCAUCAUAUUGCCGAAAACAAGACAAGACAGAAGCAGAUUCUGUUUCUUUACAACAGCCUUGGUAUUGGCAGCUGCCACAUGAUCAAAUGCAGUGAGGCUCUGAAAAAUAGUGCAGCUGAGAAAACUGAGCUUCAGCCUGGCUUUCUUGCUAACCAGCUGUCAGUCUCUGAACCUCCAUUUACUUGUCUCUAAGAUGAAUGUAUUAGUGUGAAUGAUCUCCAAGUCCCUUCGGCCUCUAGCAGUGUCAGGAGUAGAGGCCAUCUAGGGCUUGAUUUCAUUUUUCCACCAUGUGCUUUCAAUUAAGGGUUACCAUUCACAGAUGCUGGCCCCUAAUUAGAGGAAUGUGACAACAGUUGGAUAAGAACUGGCUCUUGGAAGAUCCCAAAUCAGCAUAAGGAGUCAUGGCUUUCAUAAUAAUUUCUUAAUCAUUGUAGUAGUAUGACACAGAGGAGGCUGAUGGCUAAAGGCUCCUGUGACCGCCUGUCUCCUGAUGAAAGAAAGUAUGAGAAAACCAGGAAAGAUCAUUGUGGACGGGUAGGAUUCUUCUACAGAGAUUUGGACACUGUCUCUGUGGCUGCUUUCCCACCCAGGCGAGGUCUCAUGGCCAAGCAAGUGACUGAUAGGAACAAGCAGCAAAUUAGCCUUCCAAGCUGGUAUCACCUCAGGGAUCUCAGGGAUCUCAGGGAUAUCUGAUAGCUAGAAUUGAAAUACAGGCUUGCAAUUUUACUGCUUUCUCUUUGUUUAUUUUAAUUCUUGAAGUGAGGGACACCUGGGUGCUCACAGUUAAGUGUCUGCCUUCGGCUCAGGGCAUGAUCCCGGGGUCCUGGGAUUGAGUUCCACAUCGAGCUCCUUGUGAGGAGUCUGCUUCUCCCUCUGCCUAUGUCUCUGCCUCUCUUUCUUUCUGUGUCUCUGAUGAAUAAAUAAAUAAAA